rnacentral:rRNA from 1 species
GCAGCCGCGGUAAUACGGGGGAUGCAAGCGUUAUCCGGAUUUAUUGGGUUUAAAGGGUGCGUAGGCGGUCUGGUAAGUCAGCGGUGAAAUUCAGGGGCUCAACCUCUGCCGUGCCGUUGAUACUGCUGGACUAGAAUGCGGAUGCCGUGGGAGGAAUGUGUGGUGUAGCGGUGAAAUGCAUAGAUAUCACACAGAACACCGAUUGCGAAGGCAUCUCACGAAUCCGCAAUUGACGCUGAGGCACGAAAGCGUGGGGAUCAAACAGGAUUAGAUACCCC